rnacentral:lncRNA from 1 species
GAGCACAUCCUCCCAUUAGAGAGGAGUCAUCUCUGUUGAAAAUCAUCUAUUAAGAUAGCUAGCUAGCUAUCAUCUAUCGAUCUCUGUGUUUAGCUUCCUAUAAUCUGAUGAACUCGAAUCAUUCUCCCUGAGUCAAAGUCUUAGACAACAAAAAGACUAAGGGUCAGACUCUGGAUUAAGGGAAAUUUACCUCAAUCAAGGAUGAU